GAUGAACGCUGGCGGCGUGCCUAAUACAUGCAAGUCGAGCGAACAGACGAGGAGCUUGCUCCUCUGACGUUAGCGGCGGACGGGUGAGUAACACGUGGAUAACCUACCUAUAAGACUGGGAUAACUUCGGGAAACCGGAGCUAAUACCGGAUAAUAUAUUGAACCGCAUGGUUCAAUAGUGAAAGACGGUUUUGCUGUCACUUAUAGAUGGAUCCGCGCCGCAUUAGCUAGUUGGUAAGGUAACGGCUUACCAAGGCAACGAUGCGUAGCCGACCUGAGAGGGUGAUCGGCCACACUGGAACUGAGACACGGCCCAGACUCCUACGGGAGGCAGCAGUAGGGAAUCUUCCGCAAUGGGCGAAAGCCUGACGGAGCAACGCCGCGUGAGUGAUGAAGGUCUUCGGAUCGUAAAACUCCGUUAUUAGGGAAGAACAAAUGUGUAAGUAACUAUGCACGUCUUGACGGUACCUAAUCAGAAAGCCACGGCUAACUACGUG
rnacentral:rRNA from 1 species